rnacentral:rRNA from 1 species
AUUGAACGCUGGCGGCAUGCUUUACACAUGCAAGUCGAGCGGCAGCGCGGGGGAAACCCUGGCGGCGAGCGGCGGACGGGUGAGUAAUGCAUCGGAACGUAUCCCGUAGUGGGGGACAACCCAGCGAAAGCUGGGCUAAUACCGCAUAUGCUCUACGGAGGAAAGUGGGGACCCGCAAGGGCCUCACGCUAUGGGAGCGGCCGAUGUCCGAUUAGCUAGUUGGUGGGGUAAAGGCCUACCAAGGCGACGAUCGGUAGCUGGUCUGAGAGGAUGAUCAGCCACACUGGGACUGAGACACGGCCCAGACUCCUACGGGAGGCAGCAGUGGGGAAUUUUUGGACAAAUAGGGGGCGGGAACCCUACGAUCCACGCCACUGCGCCGUGCGGGAAGGAAAGGA